AUCGCUGUUCGUGAGUUAGGGUGGCUCUUAGAAUAGAAGAGGUGUGUAGGUGGGUCGCGAGGUGGCUGGUCGUGGUGGUCUGGAGGAGAGCGCGGAGACGGUGUCCGGGUCGGUCGGGAGCGCGCGUCCGGUCGGCGGUCGGUCCUCGAGUACGUGUUCGGUCGGCGCGACGUGUUGCGACGGCGGGCAUGCGGCGGCGGUCGUGGUUGGUGUGGCCUCGUUCCUCGAGGGGAGCGGGGGCCCCGGACGGAGGGCAGACCGCUGGCCGGCGACCUCGUAGUGUGGGCGCGGUACCUGGAGGCUGGGGCUGCGGGUUCGAGGGCUACGACAAGUUGCGGUCUAGGCGCGGUGGGGUGGAAGAGGCUGGCACAGCCCUCGGUGGCAGUCCUCGUGGGCGCUGCAGGUUGGCGGUCCAGGGCGAGCUAUGGUCGCGGUGUGGAGGUGGCAUCCGGUGCUGCCAGCGGGGAUGAAGCGAGGUCGCCGGGUGCUGAGACAAGACGAAGGGGCUCCCUUCCCGCUAAUGACAGCAUGCCGAGCAGGGCCGCGGGGGGCAAACAAGGUCGGCGUGGGUGCCCCUAGGCAAGGAGAAGGGGUUCCCACCGGACUAGAGAGAGAAUAAGAGAACUAGUCGGUAGAGACGAAUUCGGCGAGAGAGUAGAGUAGAACGAAACAAUAAGCCGAACAACUAACAGAUGAAAGCUUGUAUAUAUUUAAACAUCCUAAGCUAAGCUAUGUUUCGACGCUCCACCCUGAUUAUCAAUUAAAUUUCUGACGCCUUCGACACCCCCUCCUGACUACGUGGCCGCCGCGCGUUGCCGCACCCCCACCCGGCCGCUGUGUGCCGCCGCGCACCACACCGGCCGCCGUCCUCCACCUCUACCGUAACCCAAAAAAUCCCCUAACCCUCCAUCCCUGCACGCCCAGACACCCAAUAAAGAAAAAAAGAGAACAGUCAUGGCGAAACCCAACUCAAUAUUAUCAUGACGCCCAACUUAUGGGUUUUGUCGUCCCCCAAAAGACAUUUUUACGGCUGCUGCAUGCUGUCUUUG
rnacentral:rRNA from 1 species